GACGAACGCUGGCGGCGUGCUUAACACAUGCAAGUCGAACGGAAAGGCCCUGCUUUUGUGGGGUGCUCGAGUGGCGAACGGGUGAGUAACACGUGAGUAACCUGCCCUUGACUUUGGGAUAACUUCAGGAAACUGGGGCUAAUACCGGAUAGGAGCUCCUGCUGCAUGGUGGGGGUUGGAAAGUUUCGGCGGUUGGGGAUGGACUCGCGGCUUAUCAGCUUGUUGGUGGGGUAGUGGCUUACCAAGGCUUUGACGGGUAGCCGGCCUGAGAGGGUGACCGGCCACAUUGGGACUGAGAGACGGCCCAGACUGCUACGGGAGGCAGCAGUGGGGAAUAUUGCACAAUGGGCGGAAGCCUGAUGCAGCAACGCCGCGUGCGGGAUGACGGCCUUCGGGUUGUAAUCCGCUUUCGCCUGUGACGAAGCGUGAGUGACGGUAAUGGGUAAAGAAGCACCGGCUAACUACGUG
rnacentral:rRNA from 1 species